GACGAACCGUGCGAACGUUAUUCGGAAUCACUGGGCUUAAAGGGCGCGUAGGCGGGCCAUCGAGUCCGGGGUGAAAUCUUUCGGCUUAACCGGAAAACAGCCUUGGAUACUGGUGGUCUCGAGGGAGGUAGGGGCUUGUGGAACUUCCGGUGGAGCGGUGAAAUGCGUUGAUAUCGGAAGGAACGCCGGUGGCGAAAGCGACGAGCUGGACCUCUUCUGACGCUGAGGCGCGAAAGCCAGGGGAGCGAACGGG
rnacentral:rRNA from 1 species